UACGUAGGGUGCGAGCGUUAAUCGGAAUUACUGGGCGUAAAGCGUGCGCAGGCGGUUUUGUAAGCCAGAUGUGAAAGCCCCGGGCUCAACCUGGGAAUGGCAUUUGGGACUGCAAGGCUUGAGUGCGGCAGAGGAGACUGGAAUUCCUGGUGUAGCAGUGAAAUGCGUAGAUAUCAGGAGGAAUACCGAUGGCGAAGGCAGGUCUCUGGGCCGAUACUGACGCUGAGGAGCGAAAGCGUGGGGAGCGAACAGG
rnacentral:rRNA from 1 species